rnacentral:rRNA from 1 species
AACGAACGCUGGCGGCAGGCCUAACACAUGCAAGUCGAGCGAGGACUUCGGUCCUAGCGGCGGACGGGGGAGUAACGCGUGGGAACGUGCCCUUUGCUUCGGAAUAGCCCUGGGAAACUGGGAGUAAUACCGGAUGAGCCCUUUGGGGGAAAGAUUUAUCGGCGCAGGAUCGGCCCGCGUUGGAUUAGGUAGUUGGUGGUGUAAUGGCCUACCAAGCCGACGAUCCAUAGCUGGUGUGAGAGGAUGAUCAGCCACGCUGGGACUGAGACACGGCCCAGACUCCUACGGGAGGCAGCAGUGGGGAAUCUUAGACAAUGGAGGAAACCCUGGUCUAGCCAUGCCGCGUGAGCGAUGAAGGCCUUAGGGUUGUAAAGCUCUUUCAGCUGGGAAGAUAAUGACGGUACCAGCAGAAGAAGCCCCGGCUAACUCCGUG